UUAGAUCUCUCUUUGUGGAUAUAUAGAGGGGAUGGAGGUAGUAGAGUCUCUCCGGACUAGCCUGUCCUCUUUGGGGCAGCCGUGAGGUAGUGGGGGCUGUAGAGCCCUGGAUGUAGCCACAGUUAGCGCAGGGCAGGGAUGGAGGGAAGACUGGAGCGAAGGAGGAGGAAGAGGAGGAAGAGGAGGAAGAGGAGGAGGCUGUGUUGGCACAGUUGUGAGAAGUCAUCAUAGACUCUCUGUAGAGGGGGUUGGAGAGAGACAUCAAGGGGAGGCCAUCGGUGGCCGGAGCUGUGCCUGGGAACCCUCACCGAGCAUGGGCAGAGGCCGGACGACAGGGCCCCCCUUGGUGGAAGUGGUGGUGGUGGUAGGCUUGGCUUGAACAGACAGCUUGUGGAAGUCAUGAUGCUGGCAUCCAUCAUAGAUGCCCCUCCAUUCCCAUCACUAGCAUGGCUAGGGUCACCUAAACCUGGGGAGAGGGUGUUGAGCACUGGUGUCUCUCCACUGCUUCCACUGGCUCAAUGGGUGGUGGAUGAGGUGGAGGCGGACUUUGGGGCAUCAAACCUGGGUAGUCCGUGGCUGGUCCAGGGGGUAGUGGUGGUGGUUUUGAUAGCUGGAAAUGUUCAUUGAAGCUCAAUGCGGCACUACUGGAAGUACCGGUUGUAGAAGUGAUGGAGCAAGAGACGGAGAGAGAAGGGGAGAGGUGGAGAGAGGAGGGAGAGUUGGGGAGAGAGAAGGGAGAGAGGGGGAGAGAGAAGGGGGAGGGAGGGGGAGAGAGAAGGGGGAGAACAGCUAGAGGGGGGAGAGAGAAGGGAGAGAGGGGAAGAGGGGGAGAGAGUAGGGGGAGAGGGGAAGAGAUGGGGAGAGAGAAGGGAGAGAGGGGUGAGGGGGGAAAGAGAAGGGGAAGGGAGGGGGAGAGAGAAGGGAGAGAGAGAAUGGGGAGAAGGGGGAGAGGGGGAGAGAGGAGGGGGAGAAAGAAGGGAGAGAACAGCUAGAGGGGGGAGAGAGAAGGGAGAGAGGGGGAGAGAGAAGUGAGAGAGGGGAAGAGGGGGAGAGAGAAGUGGGAGAGGGGAAGAGAUGGGGAGAGAGAAGGGAGAGAGGGGAAGAGAGGGAGAGAAGGGAGAGAGGGGAAGAGAGGGAGAACGGGGAGAGAGAAGGGGGAGAGGGGCAGAGAGAGGGAGGAGAGGCGGAGAGGGGGAGAAAGAAGGGAGAGAGGGGAGAGAGAAGUGAGAGAGGGGAAGAGAGGCAGAUGGGGAGAAGGGAGAGAGGGGAAGAGAUGGGGAGAGAGAAGGGAGAGAGGGGAAGAGGGAGAUAGGGAGAGAGGGGAAGAGAGGGAGAUGGGAGGGAAUGGGGAGAGAGAAGGGGGAGAGGGGGAGAAAGAAGGGAGAAGAACGGAGAGAGGUGGAGAGAGUAGGGGGGAUGGAGGGAGGGGAUAGGAGAGAGAAAAGUGAGAGAGGGGAAGAGGGGGAGAGAGGAGGGGGAGAGAGAAGGGGAGAGGGGGACAGAGAAGGGGGAAAUGGGGAGUGAGGGGAGAGAGAAGGGAGUGAGGAGGAGAGAGAAGGGGGAGAGAGUGAGAUGGUAGAGAAUGGGGAGAGGCGGAGAGAGAAGGGGAGAGGGGAAGAAAGAACGGAGAGAAGGGGGAGGGAGGGAGGGGGGAGAGAGAAGUGAGAGAGAGAAGGGAGUGAGGGGGAGAGGAGGAGAGGGAAGGGGGUGAGAGAAGGGAGAGAGAGAAGUUUUUUUAAAUUCUAUUUCUGUAUAUAUGAAUAACAAAUCAUCCUUUAACUAGUUAAACUAUUGCAUAGUUACAAUAUGUAACCAUUGAUGUCCCAGGACAAAGAUUGUAAACACUGUUGAAGUGGAUAAAUGUAAUACAUCCAUGCAGACACAGCAUCAAAGACUGGAAUUUGAUCCUCCUGGUAUUGGAUAUGACUGAAAAAUUAUCUCAAAAACAUUCAUACCUGAACUGCACCUUUAUUUGCCGAGGUAAAGUACAUGAUCAGUGAAUAUAUUAAAAGUACAGGCUACAAUGUGGGCAUCUCAUGCAUGGUAAUAACUACAUGUAUGUAGCGGGUCUCUUAUGCACCACAGGAGAACCAAGAAAUGAAGAGCGACACCACGGCUGUCUUUUAGGCUUUUAUGUUGAUCUGCAAUAGUAUUAUGAAAAGACAGGACAGGAACACAUCAGUCUCCAAUGCACCACCUGACAAGUUGUUCU
rnacentral:lncRNA from 1 species